rnacentral:misc_RNA from 1 species
AAAUGGAUUGCAAGAUAUUCGUGAUCAUCGAAUCUUUGACGCACAUUGCGCCCUCUGGUAUUCCGGGGGCAUGCCUGUUUGAGCGUCUUUUCUCCCUCAACCUUUGGGUUUGGUUGUUGAGUCUUGUCACUUGCUUUUGCUUGAACUACGGUUAUGGUAAUUGGGGAUCGCUUUACAUGGUGUCUUAGGUCUAACCAAAUACAUUGCUCGCUGCGGUAACGUCUACCACCUAUUUCUUCUUUUUUUGACCUUUUGUCCUGUAAGACUGCCCGCUUACCUUCUGCAUUUCAUAUACGGAGAAACGGAGGA